rnacentral:lncRNA from 1 species
GCUGGAGGGAAAAGCCUUUUCAGAGCUGCUGCUUUGUGCCCUGUCCCAUGUUGUUGCUUUGGCCCUGACCUGGAGUGGUCUGUCAGCUCUUUCUAAGGUCUGUGAGGAGCCCGGGUGUUGACAAGGUGGCUGUGUAUUGGCCCCACCUGGUAUGCUUCACCCCUCAGAAGACUUUAGCUUCUGAAUCACUGGGGGCAGCAUCAUUCCUUUUCCCACAUAAUGGUCUUCCUCUCAAUGGCAGUUAAAAGAGGCCGACACCACAGGAGGUCUGCAGGAUUGCAUGUAAAACUUCUGAAAGAAGACUCCAGAUUUUUGUAGAUGGUUUCUAUCUUUGGGAUCCCCCAGAAGCAGACCCUAAAAUAAAGAUUUGGAUGGAGGGUAUUCAUUUCAGAGGUGAUUCCAGGAGACAUGGUGAGGGAGUAGGCAAAUGAGACAGAGAAAACAAAACCCCGGAAAGUUUGCAUUAAUGAGCAGGUUCCUGCUGUGGGCACCUGGGGUCUAAUCCCACUGUGGGUCCUCUGAGAAACUUCGGAGAACAUCCCUCAGAAUUGUGCCACCGGGAGACGAGGAAGUUAGGGUAUUUAUCUACAAACUUCUGCCCUCUUUGGUUGAAGGUGGAUCCCAGGUGUCAACUCCCUUGCACCUCCAGCCAGCCCUGUGCACAAGAAAAGGCCCUCAGACAGAAGCAGGAGACCUUCAGCAGUGGAGGGAAUUGUCGUCAGCUGAGUUCCAUGUUGGGCACCGUCAACGUUACUUAUUGUCUUCUUUCCGAGAGGCGUGAACAGAGAUCCUUUUCUAAUGUGCAGUUUAAAGAUAUGUAACACGUUAAUCUUUGGAAGCUUUGAAAAUUAAAUGUGUUUUUCCCACUCUCUUCUCCCACUGCUUCUCACGGUUAACUUAAUCUGGAGGAAGAUCCGCUCAUGGAAUCCUGAGCUGCUGUCACCAUGCACGGGUUUGUAGUCCUCUCCACAGGAAGCACUUGGCCCCUCAUGCCCUGAAUUUCCAGUUCUUCAUCGACAGACUGCAGCAGGAUGGCAUCGACAGAAAAAUUGGGCUCACAGGCCCACAGAAGAUCCACUCUUUCUCCCAAUCACUUCGGAAACAACUUUUUAGAGUCUUUGGAAAGAAAAAACAUUUAAUUUUUCCUUCCCAUUGAGAGGAAACUCUUUUUUAAAAAAUAAAAAUUGCUUAUAUUUAAGGUGUAUACCAUAGUGAUUUGAUAUACUUACACCUAACGAAGUGUCAUAGUGAAAUGUCCUGUCAAGCUAAUUAACACAGCAUCUCCUCACAGAGUUACCGAUUUGUGGUGUGUGUAUGUGGUGAGAGGGCCUGAAUCUACUCUUAGCAAAUUUCCAGUAUUCAGUACAGUAUUAUUAAACUAUAGUGACUAUUGGAUCUCUAGAUGUAUUCAUCCUACAUAACUGUAACUUUGUGCCUUUGACCAACAUCCCAUUUCCCCCACUUCGCCUCCCCUGGUAACCACCAUUCUACUCCCUGCUUCUGUAUAUUUAACCGUUUUAGAUUCCACAUAUAAGUGAGGUCAUGCAGCUUUUUCCUUUCUAUGUCUGGCUUAUUUCACUUAGCAUAAUGUCCUCCGUGUUGUUGCAAAUCGC